AAUGUAAACCAGACGGUCCAUCCACUGAAGACUAGGAGGCUUCUCUCAAAGGCACACGGAAGUACUCGGGCCUUUUAAAAGGAGUCUGCUGCGAAUGGCAAAGCUGCUGAAGGACAGACAAUGCUGGCGUGCUUUUCAGUAGCCGCGCAACAUCCCACCGGCUUAACGACAGCUUUGUUUCUUACAAGGAUGAGGAGAGUGGUUCCCCCUGCAUUGGCAGCGAGCGAAAGAAACUUACAUGGUGAAUGUGCAGGUUAUCUGGGAGGAUGUCUUUUUCAAGCCGUCACCCGUCUCCUUCGAUCUAAUAGGCGUCGCAAAGUUGGACCUUUAGAUUGUUGCGUCAACUUGCUUGCGGGAUAGAGCGUCUUCUUUCUGUACCAUCUCUUGGAUCAAGGCAGGGCGCGCUGCUGGUUCACAACUCUCUA